AUCUGAGCCAACUGGGGAGUGGGGUGGAGGUCUAGUUCCCAGCAAUUUGAGAUGAUGAAAAGGUUGCUUGUGAAAUUGUUUGAGUUUUAUGUUUGCCACGCCUCCCAAUUCUUCCUCUUCCAAACUUUCUGGCUUAGUGCUUGGGAGGGCCCCUCCUCCUCCCCUCCUGUCACACCCCUCUCUAGCUGAACACCAGCCAUUCAUUCCCGUUAUCGGGAAGCUGAAGUCUAAACACCCAGCUGGCAGUGAGGGCCAUCACAGCAUGGCUGCGUGCCACUAAUCUCUCCAACCAGGUCUCCCGCCACCGGCCUGCCAGUGCUCUGCCCUCUGGCUGUGCCGCAAUCCACUGUUCUCUACUGACAUCAUGCAAGAGCUGAUCAAAUCAGGUCACAAAUACAACAGGUGUAUCCAGGAACUCCAAGUGGAUUUUCUCUUGCCUGUGUUGUUUCUAAUCGGCUUUUGAGGCACAAUUUAUAUGCAAUAAAAUGCAUACAUGUUAGGUGUACCGCACCAUGGAUCUUGACACAGGCAUGCACCUGGGUGACCGCACCAUAAUCCAGGUGUAGAACACUUUCCAACACCCCAGGAAAUCCCUUGUGCCUCUCCCCAGUCAAUCUCCCUCCUUGCAUCCUGUAUCAGAAAACGCUGCUCUGCCCUCUAGGGCCACA
rnacentral:lncRNA from 1 species